ensembl:snRNA U5 U5 spliceosomal RNA
ACACUCAUGUUUCUCUUCAGAUCGUAUAAAUCUUUCGCCUUUUACUAAAGAUUUCCGUGGGGAGGAACAACAUGAGUCUUUAUUAAUUUUUUGAUGCCCUGCCAACGCGGGGCU